UACGUAGGUGGCAAGCGUUAUCCGGAAUUAUUGGGCGUAAAGCGCGCGCAGGCGGUUUCUUAAGUCUGAUGUGAAAGCCCACGGCUCAACCGUGGAGGGUCAUUGGAAACUGGGGAACUUGAGUGCAGAAGAGAAAAGCGGAAUUCCACGUGUAGCGGAUGAAAUGCGUAGAGAUGUGGAGGAACACCAGUGGCGAAGGCGGCUUUUUGGUCUGUAACUGACGCUGAGGCGCGAAAGCGUGGGGAGCAACAGG
rnacentral:rRNA from 1 species